GCGCCUGUAGCUCAGCCGGAUAGAGCACCGGGCUUCGAACCCGGCGGUCGGGGGUUCGAAUCCCUCCAGGCGCGCCA
rnacentral:tRNA from 1 species